UACGUAGGUGGCGAGCGUUGUCCGGAUUUACUGGGCGUAAAGGGAGCGUAGGCGGACUUUUAAGUGAGAUGUGAAAUACCCGGUCUCAACUUGGGUGCUGCAUUUCAAACUGGAAGUCUAGAGUGCAGGAGAGGAGAAUGGAAUUCCUAGUGUAGCGGUGAAAUGCGUAGAGAUUAGGAAGAACACCAGUGGCGAAGGCGAUUCUCUGGACUGUAACUGAUGCUGAGGCUCGAAAGCGUGGGGAGCAAACAGGAUUAGAUACCCCGGUA
rnacentral:rRNA from 1 species